rnacentral:ncRNA from 1 species
UAAAUUAAAUGGCAAACUAUGCGAAAGCAUAGGACGCAAAGCUUCCAGUCUAAGGCAAUCGCUACGAUCGUGGGGUUACAUUA